AAAAUUGUUGUCUGAAUUUGUUACUGCAAAAACUUUAAAAACAUUAAUUAAAUAAACAUGAACACUUUGAAUCAUAUCGAACAUAAUAUGAUGAUACUUAUAACCAAUACUGAAUGUCUAAAGUUUAUUAUGAAAGAUAUUUUUAAAUAACUUAGAUCAGUGAUUCCCAAUAUAUGUACUGUGGGUACAUUAUAGAAUCAAGAGGCACCAUGGCUCAUACAAAAAUAAAAAUAUUUAAUUUAAUGUAGUUAAAAAGAUAAAACAUUGUUUUGUAUAAAAUUACUUAACACACUCUGUAUAUUUUAAGCUAAAUUAUUGAAUGAUAGAUAAAUAAAAUAUGCCUAAAACACCUGCUACUAGUGAGAAUUAAUUUACAUUGUUAUCAUAUUUCUUAUGAUAUUCACAGAAAUGCAUUAUAGCUAAAUUUGAUCCAACAAAAGGACUUUACCAGCUAGAAAAAAAAAUGGAAACUGCUGACUUAGACCAAUAUAAUAAACAGAUAGUUAAAAUUUAAAAAAUAUAUGACAAUUAAUUUACUAUAUACACAGCAGAUGUCAAGUAUACACAUGAUAAAAUUGGUAAGGUGACAUACUGGUAUUGAUUGAUAGCCACCAAUAAUAACUAGUUAUUAUGCACAGUCCUUAUCCUGAAUAGAGUAUAUAAAGUAGUUUAAUUAUUUAUAAUUUAUAACUACAAACUAUAGUUCAUUGUAAGAUGUGGAAAUUACAAAAUCAUAUCCAUUUAGUUGAUAAAGACUUAACACUAAAAUAAUUUUGCUUGUUUUAUACAUUUAAAAAUAUAAAUAAAAAUAU